UACGUAGGGGGCAAGCGUUAUCCGGAUUUACUGGGUGUAAAGGGAGCGUAGGUGGCAGGGCAAGUCAGGUGUGAAAACCCGGGGCUCAACUCCGGGAGUGCAUUUGAAACUGUCCAGCUAGAGUGCAGGAGAGGUAAGCGGAAUUCCUAGUGUAGCGGUGAAAUGCAUAGAUAUUAGGAGGAACACCAGUGGCGAAGGCGGCUUACUGGACUGUAACUGACACUGAGGCUCGAAAGCGUGGGGAGCAAACAGG
rnacentral:rRNA from 1 species